rnacentral:rRNA from 1 species
AUUGAACGCUGGCGGCAGGCCUAACACAUGCAAGUCGAGCGGAUGAAGAGAGCUUGCUCUCUGAUUUAGCGGCGGACGGGUGAGUAAUGCCUAGGAAUCUGCCUGGUAGUGGGGGAUAACGUCCGGAAACGGGCGCUAAUACCGCAUACGUCCUACGGGAGAAAGCAGGGGACCUUCGGGCCUCGCGCUAUCAGAUGAGCCUAGGUCGGAUUAGCUAGUUGGUGAGGUAAUGGCUCACCAAGGCUACGAUCCGUAACUGGUCUGAGAGGAUGAUCAGUCACACUGGAACUGAGACACGGUCCAGACUCCUACGGGAGGCAGCAGUGGGGAAUAUUGGACAAUGGGCGAAAGCCUGAUCCAGCCAUGCCGCGUGUGUGAAGAAGGUCUUCGGAUUGUAAAGCACUUUAAGUUGGGAGGAAGGGCAGUAAGUUAAUACCUUGCUGUUUUGACGUUACCGACAGAAUAAGCACCGGCUAACUUCGUGCCAGCCGCCGCAGUAAGAC